GUUUAACAAAAUCAUUUUCUGAAAAACAUGCCUCGACUUAGAUGCAGUUCUACGCCAGCCCUUUGAACCAACGGCUUGGCAUUGCCUUUCACAACAUGCUCUCAGACGCAUUGUGUUGCGUUUGCAAUUUCAGAUCCCACUUUUCACAAUGCAAAUGGCAAUUAUUCCACUGAAAAUGACUCUAUUUCCAGUGGGAAAGCCAUCGACAUCAACAUGCCAUUAUCAUUAUCAAACAGAUACUGUUGGCAGCCGGGCAAUAUACUGGCCCGAUUGCUGGUGGUGCUGGUGGUGCUGGUGGUGCUCCUACUGCAGCAGUUGCCGCUGAGCAUUGCCAACAAAUCUGUUAACAGUUGGCAAUAAUUGUGCUGCAGCAGAAACGUCCUCAUAAUUUCAGUGGCUGCUUUGUCCCUUUUCGGAGGCAACAUAAUGUUAUAUGCCGGCUAUUUUUGGGCUGGGCCUUUUAUUGUUGCUGCCAGUGUUGUCAUCGAUGGCAUUAAUUUUGGUAAGUGCGCACAAAAACGGAUAGGGUAUGCUGGGAUCGGGGGCUCUCUCUCUGUGUAUGUGUGUGUGUGUGUGUGGGGCUGGCCUAAGAACUUGAAGAGACAGUUUUCAACACGCACUGGCAAACGAUUUUUAUGGCACGACAUUUCCGAGCAACAUUUUCUUGAAUUACUCGCUCAAUUUCCGUUGAAUCAACAUGCGAGCCGGAGCCGGAGCCGGACCCGAGGGCAUCCGAACUGCAACUGCAAUGUUAAUUGAUGGCCUGUUGCAAUAUUGUGUAAUAUUAAUUAGCCCCCGGCGCGACAACCAUCAAAAUAUAAUUUGUAAAUACAUAUUUGCGCAAACAUUUUGCACUCAACUCA